rnacentral:rRNA from 1 species
UACGUAGGGUGCGAGCGUUGUCCGGAAUUAUUGGGCGUAAAGAGCUCGUAGGCGGCUCGUUGCGUCGGCUGUGAAAACCCGCAGCUCAACUGUGGGCUUGCAGCUGAUACGGGCGGGCUGGAGUUCGGUAGGGGAGACUGGAAUUCCUGGUGUAGCGGUGAAAUGCGCAGAUAUCAGGAGGAACACCGGUGGCGAAGGCGGCAUCCUGGACCGGUAUUGACGCGU